rnacentral:rRNA from 1 species
UACGUAGGCAGCAAGCGUUGUUCGGAGUUACUGGGCGUAAAGGGUGUGUAGGCGGUUAUUUAAGUUUGGGGUGAAAUCUCCCGGCUCAACCGGGAGGGUGCGCCGAAUACUGAAUGACUUGGAGUGCGGGAGAGGAAAGUGGAAUUCCUGGUGUAGCGGUGAAAUGCGUAGAUAUCAGUCGGAACACCGGUGGCGAAGGCGGCUUCUUGGGCCGUUUCUGACGCUGAGGCGCGAAAGCCAGGGGAGCGAACGGG